UCCUNCGGGAAGCAGCAGCAGGGAAUCUUGSGCAAUGGGCGAAAGCCUGACCCAGCGACGUCGCGUGGGGGACGAAGGCCUUAGGGUUGUAAACCCCUUUUCYGAGGGAAGAGACAGGACGGUACCUCGGGAAUAAGCCCCGGCUAACUACGUGCCAGCAGCCGCGGUAAUACGUAGGGGGCGAGCGUUAUCCGGAAUCACUGGGCGUAAAGUGCGCGUAGGCGGUUGGAUAAGUCUCUUGUGAAAGCUCCCGGCUCAACUGGGAGAGGUCAAGGGAUACURUUCGACUUGAGGACAACAGAGGUAAGCAGAAUUCCCGGUGUAGCGGUGRAAUGCGUAGAUAUCGGGAGGAACACCAGUGGCGAAAGCGGCUUCCUGGGCUGUAACUGACGCUGAGGCGCGAGAGCGUGGGGAGCAAACUGGAUUAGAUACCCMGGUAGUCCACGCCCUAAACGAUGGAUACUAGGUAUGGGGGGUAUUSACCCCCUCCGUGCCGCAGCUAACGCGUUAAGNUUCCCGCCU
rnacentral:rRNA from 1 species